UACGAAGGGGGCGAGCGUUGUUUGGAUUUACUGGGCGUAAAGGGCGCGUAGGCGGCGGGUCAAGUCGAGUGUGAAAGCCCCGGGCUCAACCUGGGAAUUGCGCUCGAGACUGGUCUGCUUGAGUUCGGGAGAGGAGCGUGGAAUUCCCAGUGUAGAGGUGAAAUUCGUAGAUAUUGGGAAGAACACCGGUGGCGAAGGCGGCGCUCUGGACCGAGACUGACGCUGAGGCGCGAAAGCGUGGGGAGCAAACAGG
rnacentral:rRNA from 1 species